UACUGCAGUUUUGGUUGAUCAAGAAACUGUAGUAGGUUUCAUGUAACAAGUCAAGAUUUUGCAUGGAACUCAUUCAUGCAAGUCCUGCCACUGUAUAUAACCUACAGCACCCUAUCAAAUCAAUUCAGAGCUGAGUUGCCGUGACAUCAGCCACCUAGAGGAAAUCAGAUUUAUGUACGGAAUUUCAAACCUACUUGGUGAGUCUCAUUUGAGUUCCACGAACUAUGUU
rnacentral:lncRNA from 1 species